UGAGAACUGAAUUCCUUGGGUUGUAAUUGAAACACUGUCAGACCCAUGGGGCUCAGUUCUUCA
rnacentral:pre_miRNA from 1 species